rnacentral:rRNA from 1 species
AGUGAACGCUGGCGGUAGGCCUAACACAUGCAAGUCGAACGGCAGCACAGUAAGAGCUUGCUCUUACGGGUGGCGAGUGGCGGACGGGUGAGGAAUACAUCGGAAUCUACUUUUUCGUGGGGGAUAACGUAGGGAAACUUACGCUAAUACCGCAUACGACCUACGGGUGAAAGCAGGGGAUCUUCGGACCUUGCGCGAUUGAAUGAGCCGAUGUCGGAUUAGCUAGUUGGCGGGGUAAAGGCCCACCAAGGCGACGAUCCGUAGCUGGUCUGAGAGGAUGAUCGGCCACACUGGAACUGAGACACGGUCCAGACUACUACGGGAGGCAGCAGUGGGGAAUAUUGGACAAUGGGCGCAAGCCUGAUCCAGCCAUACCGCGUGGGUGAAGAAGGCCUUCGGGUUGUAAAGCCCUUUUGUUGGGAAAGAAAAGCAGCAGGUUAAUACCCCGCGGUUCUGACGGUACCCAAAGAAUAAGCACCGGCUAACUUCGUG